rnacentral:rRNA from 1 species
GAUGAACGCUGGCGGCGUGCCUAAUACAUGCAAGUCGAGCGAACGGACGAGAAGCUUGCUUCUCUGAUGUUAGCGGCGGACGGGUGAGUAACACGUGGAUAACCUACCUAUAAGACUGGGAUAACUUCGGGAAACCGGAGCUAAUACCGGAUGAUAUUUUGAACCGCAUGGUUCAAAAGUGAAAGACGGUCUUGCUGUCACUUAUAGAUGGAUCCGCGCUGCAUUAGCUAGUUGGUAAGGUAACGGCUUACCAAGGCAACGAGGCAUAGCCGACCUGAGAGGGUGAUCGGCCACCCUGGAACUGAGACACGGUCCAGACUCCUACGGGAGGCAGCAGUAGGGAAUCUUCCGCAAUGGGCGAAAGCCUGACGGAGCAACGCCGCGUGAGUGAUGAAGGUCUUCGGAUCGUAAAACUCUGUUAUUAGGGAAGAACAUAUGUGUAAGUACCUGUGCACAUCUUGACGGUACCUAAUCAGAAAGCCACGGCUAACUACGUG